AAAUUGAGAGUUUGAUCCUGGCUCAGGAUGAACGCUGGCGGCGUGCCUAAUACAUGCAAGUCGAACGCUUUGUGGUUCAACUGAUUUGAAGAGCUUGCUCAGAUAUGACGAUGGACAUUGCAAAGAGUGGCGAACGAGUGAGUAACACGUGGGAAACCUACCUCUUAGCAGGGGAUAACAUUUGGAAACAGAUGCUAAUACCGUAUAACAAUGACAACCGCAUGGUUGUUAUUUAAAAGAUGGUUCUGCUAUCACUAAGAGAUGGUCCCGCGGUGCAUUAGCUAGUUGGUAAGGUAAUGGCUUACCAAGGCAAUGAUGCAUAGCCGAGUUGAGAGACUGAUCGGCCACAAUGGGACUGAGACACGGCCCAUACUCCUACGGGAGGCAGCAGUAGGGAAUCUUCCACAAUGGGCGAAAGCCUGAUGGAGCAACGCCGCGUGUGUGAUGAAGGGUUUCGGCUCGUAAAACACUGUUGUAAGAGAAGAAUGACAUUGAGAGUAACUGUUCAAUGUGUGACGGUAUCUUACCAGAAAGGAACGGCUAAAUACGUGCCAGCAGCCGCGGUAAUACGUAUGUUCCAAGCGUUAUCCGGAUUUAUUGGGCGUAAAGCGAGCGCAGACGGUUAUUUAAGUCUGAAGUGAAAGCCCUCAGCUCAACUGAGGAAUUGCUUUGGAAACUGGAUGACUUGAGUGCAUUAGAGGAAAGUGGAACUCCAUGUGUAGCGGUGAAAUGCGUAGAUAUAUGGAAGAACACCAGUGGCGAAGGCGGCUUUCUGGACUGUAACUGACGUUGAGGCUCGAAAGUGUGGGUAGCAAACAGGAUUAGAUACCCUGGUAGUCCACACCGUAAACGAUGAGUGCUAGGUGUUUGAGGGUUUCCGCCCUUAAGUGCCGUAGCUAACGCAUUAAGCACUCCGCCUGGGGAGUACGACCGCAAGGUUGAAACUCAAAGGAAUUGACGGGGACCCGCACAAGCGGUGGAGCAUGUGGUUUAAUUCGAAGCAACGCGAAGAACCUUACCAGGUCUUGACAUCCCUUGACAACUCCAGAGAUGGAGCGUUCCCUUCGGGGACAAGGUGACAGGUGGUGCAUGGUUGUCGUCAGCUCGUGUCGUGAGAUGUUGGGUUAAGUCCCGCAACGAGCGCAACCCUUAUUACUAGUUGCCAGCAUUCAGUUGGGCACUCUAGUGAGACUGCCGGUGACAAACCGGAGGAAGGUGGGGAUGACGUCAAAUCAUCAUGCCCCUUAUGACCUGGGCUACACACGUGCUACAAUGGCGUAUACAACGAGUUGCCAACCCGCGAGGGUGAGCUAAUCUCUUAAAGUACGUCUCAGUUCGGAUUGUAGGCUGCAACUCGCCUACAUGAAGUCGGAAUCGCUAGUAAUCGCGGAUCAGCACGCCGCGGUGAAUACGUUCCCGGGUCUUGUACACACCGCCCGUCACACCAUGAGAGUUUGUAACACCCAAAGCCGGUGGGGUAACCUUCGGGAGCCAGCCGUCUAAGGUGGGACAGAUGAUUAGGGUGAAGUCGUAACAAGGUAGCCGUAGGAGAACCUGCGGCUGGAUCACCUCCUUUCUAAGGAA
rnacentral:rRNA from 1 species